rnacentral:rRNA from 1 species
CAGUGAAAUUGAACUCGCUGUGAAGAUGCAGUGUACCCGCGGCAAGACGGAAAGACCCCGUGAACCUUUACUAUAGCUUGACACUGAACAUUGAGCCUUGAUGUGUAGGAUAGGUGGGAGGCUUUGAAGUGUGGACGCCAGUCUGCAUGGAGCCGACCUUGAAAUACCACCCUUUAAUGUUUGAUGUUCUAACGUGGACCCGUGAUCCGGGUUGCGGACAGUGUCUGGUGGGUAGUUUGACUGGGGCGGUCUCCUCCUAAAGAGUAACGGAGGAGCACGAAGGUUGGCUAAUCCUGGUCGGACAUCAGGAGGUUAGUGCAAUGGCAUAAGCCAGCUUGACUGCGAGCGUGACGGCGCGAGCAGGUGCGAAAGCAGGUCAUAGUGAUCCGGUGGUUCUGAAUGGAAGGGCCAUCGCUCAACGGAUAAAAGGUACUCCGGGGAUAACAGGCUGAUACCGCCCAAGAGUUCAUAUCGACGGCGGUGUUUGGCACCUCGAUGUCGGCUCAUCACAUCCUGGGGCUGAAGUAGGUCCCAAGGGUAUGGCUGUUCGCCAUUUAAAGUGGUACGCGAGCUGGGUUUAGAACGUCGUGAGACAGUUCGGUCCCUAUCUGCCGUGGGCGCUGGAGAACUGAGGGGGGCUGCUCCUAGUACGAGAGGACCGGAGUGGACGCAUCACUGGUGUUCGGGUUGUCAUGCCAAUGGCACUGCCCGGUAGCUAAAUGCGGAAGAGAUAAGUGCUGAAAGCAUCUAAGCACGAAACUUGCCCCGAGAUGAGUUCUCCCUGACUCCUUGAGAGUCCUGAAGGAACGUUGAAGACGACGACGUUGAUAGGCCGGGUGUGUAAGCGCAGCGAUGCGUUGAGCUAACCGGUACUAAUGAACCGUGAGGCUUAACCUUACAACGCCGAAGGUGUUU